rnacentral:rRNA from 1 species
UUAUUUUAUAAAAAAAAUAUUUUUAAGUAAUUAGGCAAAAUAAUUAUAUUCACCUGUUUAACAAAAACAUGUCUUUUUGAUUUUAAUAUAAAGUCAGUUCUGCUCAAUGAGAAAUUAAAUAGCUGCAGUAUUUUAACUGUACAAAGGUAGCAUAAUCAUUUGUCUUUUAAUUGAAGGCUGGAAUGAAUGAAUUAAUGAAAUAUAAACUGUCUCAAUUAUAUAAAAUAAAUUUAAAUUUUGAGUCAAAAUGCUUAAUUUAAUUUAAGGGACGAUAAGACCCUAUAGAAUUUUAUAUAUUAUAAAUUUUAUAAAUUUUAAUAAUAUAUUUGGUUGGGAGGAUUUUUAUAUUUAAUUAACUUUAAAAUUUUAAAAAUAUUGAUUUAUAGAAAAAUUUAAUUGAAAUAUAUUAUUAUAAUAUAAUAAAAGAAUAAAUUACCUUAGGGAUAACAGCGUAAUAUUUUUGGAAAGAUCAAAUUGAAAAAAUUGUUUGCGACCUCGAUGUUGAAUUAAAAUAAAUUAUAAAUGUAGGCGUUUAUAAAUUUAGUCUGUUCGACUAUGAAAAUUUUACAUGAUUUGAGUUCAGAUCGACGUGAGUCAGAUUGGUUUUUAUCUUUAAAAAAAUUUAAAAUUUUUGUACGAAAGGACU